rnacentral:rRNA from 1 species
UACGGAGGAUGCAAGCGUUAUCCGGAUUUAUUGGGUUUAAAGGGUGCGUAGGCUGUUCUUCAAGUCAGGGGUGAAAGCCCGGCGCUUAACGCCGGAACUGCCUUUGAUACUGUUGAGCUGGAAUACGGAUGCCGUGGGAGGAAUGAGUAGUGUAGCGGUGAAAUGCAUAGAUAUUACUCAGAACACCGAUUGCGAAGGCAUCUCACGAAUCCGUUAUUGACGCUGAGGCACGAAAGCGUGGGGAUCAAACAGG